CUCCGGAAGAGGGUUUAAUGUUCCCGGUUAGUGAUAAUCACGUCGAACUCAAACGGAAACACACAUUUUCGUCACAGAGUUGUUUGUUUUCCGUUAAACGGCGUGAAAGAUGCCGGAGACGAGUCAGGACCCGAUCUCACUCACAGAUCCGAUCGAUCAGUUACCUCUCCGGCUACUACGAUCGGAGAUCGUCCCGCCGGCUCCGUCUCGAUCCAACUCUUCAAUCGACUGGCUCUCCGACUUCGCCGGCUACUCAUGGCUUGCUUACGGAGCUUCCUCUCUCCUCGUCAUCUCCCACCUCCCUUCCCCUCUCCGCGGCGAAGACUCUGCCAACGGACCGCUUUUCCGUCAGAUUCUCGAGGUUUCCGGCGACGUUUCGUCUCCAGUUACCGCCGUUUCGUGGUCUCCUGUUACGCCGUCUGUAGGCGAGCUCGCGGUUGGGUCUGGGAGCUACGUUCGCCUCUUCGCGCGUGAUCUUAGCGAUCUGAACGGUUCAUUUUGUUGGAGUCAGAGUGCUGUAUUGCUGCAAGAAACAAAAGUUGAAGCGAUUGAGUGGACUGGAUCCGGGGAUGGGAUGAUAGUUGGUGGAACUGAUAUUGUUUUGUGGAAGAGAAGGAACCAAUCCUGGGAAAUAGCUUGGAAGUUCCCAGGGGAUUACCUUCAAGAUCUGGUUUCCUCCACCUGGUCAAUCGAGGGUCCUUUUGCGUCGGCAGCUUCUUGGAGCAAGUUUCCGUCGGAGUGUGAUGAGGCAGGUAGAGGUGUCUUGGCCUAUUACAGUGACGGGGAGAUAUAUCGUAAAGUUGAAUUGCCUCAUCCUCAGAGGAUAUCCACGAUUCAGUGGAGACCGGUGGCUGCAGAGCAGUCUGUAGAAUGCGCGGGGAAAUCAGUGAGGAAUGUGCUGAUGACGUGUUGUUUGGAUGGGGCUGUAAGGUUAUGGUGUGAGGUAGAUGGUGGAAAGGCUAAAAAGGGCUUGAAAGAUGUCCAUGGGCAUAAAAAGUCGUUUUGCGUGGCAGCUGUGAUAGAGAUAAAUCAGGUUUUGGAUGGUUGUUUGGGAAGAGAUUUGUUUGUUUUUUGGGGAACUCGGUCAGGGGGUAUAUUGAAAACCAUUGAAGGUACUAAUCAAUUGUUUACUACUGAGAAGUAUGAUCAUGAGAAUGUUGGCAACUGUGAGUGGUUAGUAGGGCAAGGCCCUGGGAAAUCGGCUUCUUUGUGGGCUGUCCAUUGUCUGGAUGACAUCUCUCCUAUGAGGUUUCCGAGGAUUACAUUGUGGGCGAGACAAGAAACAAAUGGAACUGCUCUGGAACCACUCUCUAUAACUGAUGCUACUGGUUUUUCUGAUCGAUUACCCCUUAAGAAAGUUUAUGUAUUGAGAAAUAACCUUUAUGGCACGCCAGAUAUCUGCUCUUCCAUUUAUUUAUCUUCACGCAAUACCAUAUGUUGGUCCUCCUUGCACACAGUAAAAUCACAUGCCUUAGAAGAUUCACCUCCAGAUAAAUCCAGCGUAUUGCAGUGCAUCACGGAAAAAGUAUUAGAUCUUGAUGGUCAUGGUGGGAAAAUCCUACAGGUUGCCUUUACUCCUAUCAUAAGUGAGGCGGGAUACACUGCUUCUCUGGAUUAUAAUGGUUUGAUAAUAAUCUGGUCCUCUUGUGAUUAUUUGAACCGUGCUAUUGACCAUCCUAUAUCAGUUUCUUCCUGGAAACAUUGUGGACGGCUUCAAAAUCAAGAGUUAAGAUUGAAGUACACGAGUAUAUGCUGGGCACCUUCAUCAUUGAAUGAUGAGAGCUUUCUACUUGCGGGACAUGUACAAGGCAUUGAUUGUUAUAGUGUGAGGAAAGGCGGGAGCGGUUAUGGUGGUUUUCUUACCCAUUACAUAUGUACCAUACCGUUAGCAGUUAGCCAGCCUUUUGAGGAUGGUCCGACCAGCAUAUUUGCAAGACCUCUUCCAGAUUCUUGUGGAAAGACAUUCAAAACUAACAGUUUUUUGCUUCUAAGUGUAUGGAUGAAAGAUAAACGGUUUGAUGCUCUGUCAUGGAAAGUGACCCUGCAUCAUUUUGAUGCAGCAGGAAGCACCUGCGACUGUCAUUUUCAUGAUUUUGAUAGCAUGGAAUCGGGCAAGUGGUUGUUCGAAGAUACUUUUGCUGGUAAGAAAAAUUGCAUUGCUGUUAGAUCAUGCUCUUCAGAAUUACCUGAAUCUCAUCGUUAUGAUGAAGUAACUAGUUUUGCUGUGGUCAAUCCGAGCGGCAGGGCCCUAGAGAAGGACAUGAACAUUGAAAGUCAAGCUUAUACUAUGGCAACUGGUCAUGAUAAUGGCUCUUUAAAACUGUGGAGAAGUAGCCUUCAGGAAAGUUCAACACCUUCCAUUAUGUGGGAGCUUGUUGGCAUGCUUACCAUUGGCAAAAGUCCUGUCAGUGCUAUAUCUCUAACUGAGUCGGGACACAAGAUCGCAGCCCUCUGCACAGAGAAUCAUUCAAAAGCUGUUCGAACAAUUAGCGUAUGGGAGAUUGUACACCUUCUCGAUUCAGGGGUUUUCAUACUAGAGGAUAAGUUACAUGUUGAUGCAGAGGUUGUUGCUGUAAGAUGGUCAACUGUGGGAAAUGAUCAGCUAAUUCUUGGAGUUUGCACACAGAAUGAGAUGCGGGUAUAUGGUAUUGCUCGGCAACCCUGCAGAAGUACCAGUUUCGCUGUCUCUGAUUAUUCUUCAGAGACACAAAUUUGGCAAUGCUUCGCUGUUACUCGUACAUUUUCUGCUAUUCAUGAUUUAUGGUGGGGAUCCAAAGCCAUGACUGCACUGGCUCAUAAUGAUUAUGUUAGCCUACAUGGUCAAUGGCUGGCCGUUACUGACAAGAAGCAAAAGACUGAUAACAAUCCAGAAAUUUUUGCAGCCAAUCUUCCGAAACUAGUGAAUACUACAGAAGGCAGAGACUCUGAAUUGUUAUCUAAUAGUAUGCCUUUAACUGCGACCGCAUAUGGUUCAGAUACUCUUAAGGACACGACAAGCAUGUUGCAUAUUGUGGAAAAGUUAGGAGGCGCCUUGCCACUCUAUCAUCCUCAUGCCCUCCUUGUCGCUAUACGUUCAGGCAACUGGAAACGAGCAAGCGCAGCUUUAAGGCAUCUUGCUGAGAAUAUUACUUCAGGUGAUGCCUCCGUGAAGGAUCACGGUGUAAAGUCAGAUCUUUGUCAGGAUAUCCUUUUGUCAAAAUAUUAUGAAGGGUCUGUCUCCAAUGGCCCAAAUCGUAAGGAUUUCCAUUGGGGUGGGACAUCUGGUUCAAUGCUACAGAAUUCUCAGUUUCAGGCAGGGUUGCAGUCAAAUUUCAGUAUGGAUUCUUAUAGUCCCAAUGGUAGUCACAGUUCUCCUGCAACAGACUUGGAAUUUACUGGCUUCUGCGAGCAGCUGGAGAAGUUAUCAGAUGAAGGAAAUAUUUCCAGGACAGAAAAGAUACAAUACUUUGCAAUUGUUGAUCUUCUUCGUGAAAUUGGUAAUCCACAUUCGACUUCUGUCUAUGCAAGUCUUGAUGAAGCUGGGAGAAGAUUUUGGAUCACACUUAGGUUUAAGCAGCUGUACUUAGCUCGAAGUUCUGGCAAACCAGCAUCUGUAGAAGAGUUGGAUAUUGACUCUAGUAUGAUAGGAUGUGCUUUUCACUCAGAGUCUCAAGAAAAUCUGUCUGGUUCUCUUUUACCCAUUGAAUCAUCAUGGCAACAAAUGCGCUCACUGGGUUUUGGAUUUUGGUGUUCAGAUGUAGCACAGUUGCGGCCACGAAUGGAGAAACUGGCCCGGCAGCAAUACCUGAAGAACAAGAAACCUAAAGAUUGUGCGCUUCUCUAUAUAGCUUUAAAUAGAAUUCAAGUUUUGGCUGGUCUUUUUAAAAUAAGCAAGGAUGAGAAAGAUAAACCCUUGGUGGGUUUUCUUUCACGCAAUUUUCAGGAAGAGAAAAAUAAGGCAGCAGCCUUGAAAAAUGCGUAUGUGCUAAUGGGUAAACACCAACUGGAGCUGGCUAUAGGUUUCUUUCUCCUUGGAGGUGAAGCUUCAUCGGCGAUAAAUGUCUGUGUGAAAAAUCUUCAAGAUGAGCAGCUUGCGCUCGUAAUUUGCCGGCUUGUUGAUGGGCAGGGUGGGGCACUGGAAAGUAAUCUUAUAAAUAAAUACAUACUCCCAUCUGCUGUUCGGAGAGGAGACUUUUGGCUGGCAAGCAUACUUAAGUGGGAAUUAGGAGAGUAUCAUCAGUCAAUUCUUGCUAUGGCUGGAAGUCUAGAGAACCCUGCUAAUGGGAGCUCUACUGUUACUUCAAAUCACAUCUCUUUUGUGGAUCCUAGUAUUGGAUUAUACUGUCUCAUGUUGACUACAAAAAAUAGUCUGAAGAAUGCAGUGGGGGAAAGAAAUGCUUCAAACCUUAGUAGAUGGGCAACCUUGAUGACUGCUACCGCCUUCAGCAGAUGUGGGCUUCCGCUCGAGGCGUUAGAAUGUCUUUCAGCAUCUGCCAGCGGUCAUGGUGGUACGCAUCAGGCUAGCGGUCAAAGUAAUGGACAUUUGGGUACUCCACGUGGUGUUCUUGAGCUUUCUGAUCCUAAUUCUAAUUGGGUAUCAAGCGGUGUUUCAUCUACUGUGGACACUCGUUUUAAACUGAGUCUAGCCGCCCAUUCCCUCUCAAAGCUAUUAAGGGAAGCAACUGCACUAUUAAGGAGUUCUGAAAUUGUUUUGUGUGAGAAACUCUCUGGAUUUCAACAUAAGCUACAAACAUCUUUGGAGCUAUUUUACCAGAGGUUUUCUUUAUCUUCAUCUUUCCUACGUAAUACGAUGAUUAUGUCAGCAUACAACAGUGGGUUACUACUAUCCAUGGGAUACAAUGUAUUUCAGGAAAAUAGUUCCUCAGGACGCUCACUAAAUAAGUCCCAGACAAAUGAAGAUCUCCUCCAAUAUUCAGCUUUGUGUAAAUUGAUUCUAAAAGCGACCGAAGAGAACUCGUUUAUAUUGUCACGUAUCAUUGCUGCAUGCAGUGUCACUUGCUUUCACUCAGUGCCAUGCUUAGAGGAAAACAAGGUGUCAUCUGGACCUGAGCCAAAGUUGUCUAAUGCUUUACGAUUUUACUUUCAGGGCAUUCUGCAAUCCUUCUCUAGUUUUGAAACUACUAUAAGGCUGUGCUUGAACUCCUCUUUGGAAGACCUGAAAACAAGACUCGCCGUUGUUCUUGAUUUAGUCGAAUAUUGCUCAAGACUCGCAAUGGCUUGGAUCCUAGGGGAUGUAGACUGUCUCUUUCGAAUGGUGCAGCCUUUGACGAUAUCAUAUUUUCAUGGACAUAUGCCUUACGAGGUCGACCUGGAAAGCCUGAAGAGAGUGUACCACCAAGAAGUUUCUGUUAGUGUUCCAGAUGCGUCAGAUGCAGGACUUAAUUCUAUUGUUGAGAACAACGAAGUUGGAUACCCAGUGAGCUCAAUUCCAGGAGAUGAAAGGCGUCUUGUAACACAAGCAUGUUUCUGGAGGCAUGUUUCGGACUUUGUGAAACAUAAGAUGGUAUCGACUUCGAUUGAUCUAGAUGAUGGUAUCUCGAAUAGUGAAUCCUCAGAGAAAUUUGAUGCUCAGACAUCGUUCGAUUCUAGUGGUGACAUUGUAUGUGUAACUGAGAAGAUCAUGUCCGUUCUGGGAAAAACACUGGUUAGCACCAUAGCUCAACUGUCUUCCUACCAUGUAAAACAACUUGUACUGUCCUUGAAACAGAAAUUAGAGAAGAGAAUUCAGGUUCCUACCUUGUUAUGGUUGCACGGAUGUCGGGAAUCUCAGGCAAAUUUUAUUAAUCGAGCUAUCCCAGAUUCAAGUACAGAGAAUGAAGACAACAGCGACCUUGCAGUUUCUGUGAGGUUUUGGACACUUUGCGUUGAUCCUCAUUUAGUACUCGAAGCUUUCUUGCUAGAAAAUUUUGACAUAUCUGAAUGGUCAAAACUUAAACCAUUGGAAGAUUGGAGCAAUAUGUACAGAGAAAUAAAGGGGAAGAAUGAGCUCAAUGUGCCAUGCAAUCAAGAUGAUCUGAGUAGUAAUGAAGUGGCUUCACUUGCAAACCACGCUUCUAAUUCUUCGCAGAAAGCUGCAACUGCCAGUGAAAAUUCUGCUUUCCAGGACCCCAAAGAAAUCCAUAAGAGGACCGGGGAGCUUAUACAGGCCAUUUGUAUCAAUGCCAUCAACCAUCGGCAAGCUGCACUAGCUAGCAACCGCAAGGGUAUAAUUUUCUUUAACCAAGAAGAUGGUGGUCCUUGCUAUGAUCAGUCAAACUAUAUUUGGUCAGAUGCUGAUUGGCCACGUAAUGGUUGGGCUAACUCUGAGUCAACCCCUGUUCCAACAUGUGUCUCACUCGGUGUUGGUCUUGGGGACAAAAAAGGAGCACACCUUGGGUUAGGUGGGGCCACUGUUGGUGAUUUUUCUCUUUCCAAGCCAUGGAAAUCUCACAGGGUUCCGGCUUACACUGGGUUAGGAGUCUCUGGUCUAGGUUGGCAAACUCAAGAAGAUUUUGAGCAGUUUAUUGAUCCUCCCCCAACAGUUGAAACUGUUAUUGCAAGCGCAUUCUCUAGUCACCCAACAAUGCCUCUCUUCUUGGUUGGCUCAAGCAACACUCACAUUUACUUGUGGGAGUUUGGAAAAGACAGAGCUACUGCAACUUACGGUGUCCUGCCUGCUGCAAAUGUUCCUCCUCCAUAUGCUUUGGCGUCAAUAUCAGCAGUUCAAAUCGGUCCAUGCGGACACAGAUUUGCUAGCGCUGCACUUGAUGGAACGGUAUGCACCUGGCAAUCAGAAGUUGGAGGAAGAAGCAAUGUCUAUCCUGUUGAGUCAUCUAUUUGCUUCAAUGGCUUUGCAUCAGAUGUGAAAUAUAUUAGUUCGAGUGGAUCUAUAGUUGCAGCUUCAGGAUAUAGCUCAAGUGGUGCCAACGUAGUUGUAUGGGAUACUCUAGCUCCCCCUUCAACCUCCCAGGCAUCUAUCAGUUGUCAUGAAGGUGGUGCACGCUCAAUCUCGGUGUUUGAUAAUGACAUUGGUAGUGGCUCGAUUUCUCCAAUGAUUGUAACUGGUGGCAAAAACGGUGAUGUUGGAUUGCACGAUUUCCGGUAUAUCGCAACCGGUAAGAUGAAGAAGCAGAGGAACGCUGACGGAAGAUCUUCUACUGACGGAGAUCAGAACAAGAAUGGGAUGCUUUGGUAUAUACCAAAGGCUCACUUAGGGAGUGUGACCAAGAUAUCGACAAUACCACGGACAAGUCUGUUCUUGACAGGAAGCAAAGACGGAGAUGUGAAACUUUGGGAUGCAAAAGCAGCAAAGAUGAUUCAUCACUGGCCUAAACUACACGAAAGGCACACUUUCCUUCAACCAAACUCUAGAGGCUACGGUGGAAUCAUCCGCGCUGGGGUGACAGACAUACAAGUUUGUCCGAAUGGAUUCAUCACUUGUGGUGGUGAUGGCACUGUGAAGGUCGUCAGCCUCAGAAAUUCCUAACUGCUAUUGCCGGAAAACGAGCUUAGCCUUGAAUGUUUCUAUUGAAUACGUGAUUUCUUCUCAAAAGUGUGUACAUGUCGAGUUUUAAGUUUUGUUUUUGUUCAGCAAGCAUAUAAAAAUCCAGGUUCAACCAAUAAUACUUUUUGAUUGAUGUUGAGUGCGGAUUCAGUUUUGUAGAAAUGUUUUUUAAACAUUUUUAUAGACUAGAAUAAAACCAAAUAAGCCUGAAUAAAUAUUUUAUAAGCUCAUAUUUUGUAAAUAAGUACUUGUCCAACAGUUUAAUAAGAUUAUGAAAUCCCUGGCGACCA